AAAGAGAGAUACCCGAUCGAUGAGUUGGAAUCAGCUAGAUUUUCCCCUCCAAACAGAUUCCUAGGGUUUGGAUUGACAAACCCUCUUUUUGGUGUUUUAAAAAGAUUGUAACUUUGGUGUUGGCGUUGAAAGUUGUAGAGACAGUUGCUGGUUGCUGGCGUAGCAUUAUCAAGAUUCACAUUGAAAUGAAAUGUUCCAGCUACGCGUUGGGUUCCAGAUUUAAUUUGAAGUGAGAAUCUUGAUGAUGCUGCAUCGGCAAUAAGAACAACUUGAGAAAUAUUUGGUGUUGAAUUAAUUAUUAAAGGGAUCAUUUGGUUGGAUGGAUCCGGUUGCCACACCAAGGAACAAGGCUAAGCUGGGAAAGAAGAGAAUCUGGAGAUGAAUUGAAAUCAGGUAAAUAAUAUUCUAUCUAGUUUCCAUUAUAUAUGUAUAUAUGUAUAAAUUAUUGAAUAAGUAAAGAAGAAAAAAGGGUGUUAGAGGUGAGGAGAAAUGGAUAAAGAAAUCAGUGGACGUUGAGGGUGGAAGUUUAGCAUAAUAAUGAAUCCAUCCAUGAGAAUGUGAGUUGGUGGACCAAAGAAGCAGGAGACAUGCCUGUAACUAGGACCCCUUAUUCAUUCAUGUACCUUCUUUUUCUUCUCUCUCCAUGGAUACAUCUCUGGUUUAUUAUUAUUAUUAUUUCUAAGGGUGAUGUUGAUGAUUCAGGAAUUUGGAGAUUGUGGAGAUCUUCCCCACUCACUGCCUCGCUUCUCUCUUCCAUCUCAUAAUUAUUUCACUUCUUUUCAUUUUGAAUCUAUAAAUCAAUCAUUCAACUGAUUCAAGAAUUUGGAGAUAUAUUCUGUUUAAUUUGCCUCUCA